rnacentral:lncRNA from 1 species
AUCUGCGGUGCUGGUCGCUAGCGGCUGUACGAGGGCGCUACAGCGGCAAUCACCAGCACUGAUGAUACGCACGCGAAACGUGUAUGGGUGGCGAUGGCUCGAGGUUUGAUGGAUAGGGAACUCUCGGGAUAUGUCGCCGCUGGGAUUUAUAGCCAUGGCGAGGGGCAAUCGGGUCUGAGAGCAGAGAGGGGCGAGAAAUUAGAGCUGGACUCCAUGGCGUUGCGCGGUCGAGUUUGGCGUCCACAGACGGAGUUGAUGGUGGCGGUGGGUUUAUAUGCUCCAGGAAGGCAGAGUCCGCGGAGGUUGCAAAUCCCGACCAUAGCGCGAUUUGGGAGAGAAUCUGUUGCGGACAACAGAGGCGAGAGGAAAACCCGGCGGAAGGUGAGGCCUCCAUGGAUUUGGUCGCAACAGCUCGAUCCGGCCGUAUCCAGUCGUCCUCCGAGCACCCCUGGCCUCCCAAUCUUUUCCCAAACACCACACUAAGCUUGUCAAUGGCGCGGGCUGGGAUUAGUUUCGGGUGGCCUGGGUGAUUCUCUCAGCCACCACGACGCUCCCCGCCGAUGACAUCGCAAUCUCACUCUCUGUCGUCUCCUAACCUGCUGGGAUGCAUUCGGUGCAUGGCCUAACUUAUAGUUAAAGCGGAGUUCCCGGACGGACGUGCGUGCACGUCGAUUUUCCAGCGCUAACUCCGGAGAAGGCGGCGAAUUUGGUUACGCAGCCGCGGACCCAGUCGAUACGCAGAUGCUGUUGCGCGCGAGCUUAGCGAUGGAGACAAAGCUAGCUCAAGGGGCCCACGUGCCAGCCAAUGUGGUGAGUGAUCCUGAGCUGCGGCCCACCUGCCAGCAACUCAAUACAGGACGCGAGUGCGGCAAGCGCACUGAAGCGUGGCCCCAACUGUUAUUGGAUUCUAGGCGAGCCACUGUCGUCCUUACGACUGGGUGAGAUCAAAUACGUAUGUGUGCAUGAGAUUUGCUUGAUGACAUAGUAUGUGGAGUUCAGCUGAUGUCACUUGCGGCUAGAGAAUAAACGAAAGAGAAGAAAACUAUGGGUCGUGCGUUUGCUUUUUUUUAAAGUAAGGUAGGCAUAAUUUAUACUUAUUUGCAUUUUUCCUUCUUUUCUUAAAUCUCCAAAUUGUAUGUCAUGUAUAAAUUCCAUUUUUUGUCACUAAUGAUUUUCUAUUAACAUUAUUAUUAUUUUCAAAUGCACAAACAAGUAAACUUUGGCAUGAUGCAUAAUUUAUUCAUGUGUCAUUUGUUUAUUAUUCACUUUUAGGUGUGAGUGUUCACAUAUGCUAAUUAUAGUAUGAGUCGCACAAAUAUGGAGACCAACUCUAUUCUUAACAUUUACAAUUUGGGUAUUACCAUAUUACUUUUUACAUUAUUUUUAUAUUGUCACAAAAUGCACACAAAAUGAAACCUCGGCAUCAUGCACAAUUUAGUGGUAUGUCCUUUAUUAACUAUUUUUUUUAAUAAGAUGUUCACAUGUGAUGCUAAAUAGAGGUAACACAUAUAUAUAAAGGAAAUAAUUUCUCCUUUUAAUACUUUAUUAUAAAUUGGGUAUUACAAAUCCUACCCCCUUAACAGAAAUCUCGUCCCCGAGAUUUGUAAGAAAAGGGAAACAUAAGGAUUGGUUUGUAAAUAGGUUCAAAAUCGAGAGUCUCAUAUUUUUUAGAGACAAUAGUGAGUGAUUAGAAGAGCAUAGGUAUCUAGCUACUUAUUAUGUAGGAUAAAAGAUGGGUAGGUUAAGGUAAGAAAUAUUAUGGCAAGGAAAUACCCCAUCUUGGGUGGUGACGCAUCUAAAGAUCUAGUUUGACUUUUAUCCUUCCUUGGCGAGGUUGAUCUUCUCUUCUCUGGUCUUGGUCUCAUUGAUUCGAGGUUAGUGUAUAUCAUCGGGGUUGAGGAAUAUGGUUAAGAUAGAUAUGGAUGAGAUAGACUACAUGAUGUAGGUCAAAAUCUUGUUUGAUGUUAGGUGGGGAUAGACAAAUUGGAUAUAACUAGAUUAGACUAGUUAAGAUCUACUUAUUUUAGAAUAGAUCAUAGUUGUUACACUUAGUACGAGAUAAGCAAAGUAGACAGGAUAGAAUCUUUUAAGAUGAGAUGAAUCUAUUAAGAUAAGAGAAAAUCUUUUAAGAUAAGAUAUAUUUUAAUUAGGAUAAGUUAGGAUCUUUUCACAUAAGAUGGAUCUAUGAGUGUAGGAUAAAAUCUUUUAAGAUGAGAUGGAUAUUGUUAGGCUAGAUACUUUAAUGAGGGAUAACCUAGUUUAUCUAGUUAUUUUUAUAAGCAUUUUUUUCUACAUGUAUGUGCAGAUGUAAUUGUGGACAUUACUCCACAACUCAUCACACUCAAUCAAAUAUCCAAAUCAGACAAGUAUCAUAAGAACAAAAUAUUCAAAUUCAUAGAUAUCUAUAAAAAUAGUUUUAUUUUUGUUCCUAAGAGUAGGUCCCCUAUUCCAAAAAGUCACUUUAACCACAGGAUUUCAAAGUGUGAAAUCCAAGUUUGUCUUUAGCAGGAAAAGGUAAGAAUAAUCAGAGUAAAGCGGAAAUAGAUGAGAAAAGAUUAAGAUAAGUUUAGAAAAGAAUCAGAGUAAGGUAAGUAGAUAAUGGUUGUCCAGUUCUAUCUAGGUUUCGUCCUACAGUCAACAUCCCUCUGAUACCACUUCUGUCACACCCGGGUUUUAGGGGUCCAAAGCCCGGGCGCGAACAUAAUCACCAGGUGUGCUGGGACCAAGUCUCACACAUAUGAUGAAUCAUGGCACAGGAUCGAAUGUCACAACUUUACUAUAUAAUAGGAGUUCUAUACAAAAUAAAUAAUUACAUAUAAGGAGACAAUGGUCCAGCAACCCAAAGUUGACUGGGAGACGACGACCUAGAUCUCUCACGAACUCAUCGCAGCAUCCUCCAAGCGCCUCAUCCUGCGGUACCUGCUCUUGACCUGUGGGGGGGGGUGUGAGACAGCAAGAGUGAGCUCACAUACGUUCAUCGCUCAACAAGUUGUGGGGAAUAAUGUGCAUGAACUCGCCAAAGGUGGGAGCUCACGUGAAGUGUAAGGCUUACCAAAGAGGAUGGUUAGAGCUGAGCAUUGCUUUUAAAGUUGGUCAAAAUUUUAUUAGCAAUUACUAAGUAUAAGUAAAUACCAACCCAAUUAAGUAGUAGAACAAAAGUAACAACCUCACCUGCGAUGCAAUGCAUAUGACAAAUUGAGUUUAAGUUCCAUAAUUUAAUCAUCAGAGAGUCCUGAGCUGCUCAUGACCGUGAGCUCGGCUAGUAUACCAGUUUUACACUCUGCAGAGGUGGUACCCUUUACCCACAAGUCAUGUUACCCAUCUGCCAAGGGAUCGCGACUUCCCAUACACCUCUACCGAGGAGGCGAGGCAGGGUAACACUACGAGGCCUUUACAAAGUUCCACUAGCUUCAGAAAACCCGCUACAGUUUAUAGGAAGCUCCAAUGCAGGAAUCCCUUGCAGGACCGCCAUCGCAGCAAAAUCCUCCCGAGGGCCUCCCUACACUGACCACUCCCCUACUGCCCUUGCCCCUUUCGGGUAAGGUAGUCCUCCACUAGCUUUCCUAAUUAAUCAGCCAAGGGCGUCCAUAAACCCUUGUGGUGGCACGUGUUUCUCAAGUUAAGCUCUAUGUUCCAAUUAACAUUUAAUGAUCUUGUCAUGAACAUAAAUGAAAUAACAACAUAAUUGGAACAUAGAUAUAAUGAAAUAUUAACCCAAAACCAUAUAAAGCAGUAGCAGAACUACCCAAGUUAUUCAGGGGUAAACAAGGUAUUCAGGAUAAACAAACUAGGGUGACCUAUUGGGUCCCAUCAAAAUUAACCUAUGCAGAUCAUUAUGAUUAAUUAGAACAUGAGUGGGUAAAAGAAGUGAUCAAGGGCACAACUUGCCUGGCACUUGAGAUUCCAGAUACCAACUUGCUUUACAGAUGACACGUGUCCUCGCGCUAGUCGUAGCAAUACAAACAAACAUGGUAUAGAUAAAAUUAACAUCACACCAAACAUAAGAAUACACUGCGUAAAAAUAAUCUACGCGAAGCUACGAGACUAACGCAACUUGAACGGAUCAAAUCGGAGUUAAACGGAGGAGAUACGAAUUUCCUAAGGUUUUAUGUGCUUUAAAUAGGAUUAAGUGUGGGAUUAAAUUUCUUACUGUUUUCACGACAAAACAGAGGCUCUAAGUGAUAGAGAAUUAAAUUACAAAAAUUUAGAAAGUGGAAUGAAGUAAUUUGGAGCAAGUAUGAAUUUUCUAGGAAUUAACAAAGUUCUAGCAAUUAUUUUCCUAUUAAAAAUCCAUUUAUAAAUUAUUUUCUCUGGUUUUAUAAUGCUCUGGACUGGGCCUCAUUUAAACAGGAACACAGGGGGUCUUGCGUAAAAGUCUCUAAGACACAGAGAACAGUGGAAGUAGGACGGCGGGUUCAUUAUAAAAUACCCUAGGGUUUCUUUAGUAAAAUGUACCCGCGAAGGGGUAUCAGUGGUUUCUGGCCGUUGGAUCUCUAUCUGACGGUUGCGAUUAGAUUUUUUUUAUAAAACCUAACUCGGAAUCCAACGACAGCCGCUAGAUUAAGAUCUGAUGGUCGUGAGGCAUCCACGCCGUAACCCAAUCUCGACCGCAAAGCCUGCAACCGACGGCACAGAUUUAAUCGAGUGAAGGGGUAUGGGUCGAUCUAAUCUCAACCGCCCACAAGUUAUCUGACGGUGACGAGGCGUCUUCCCCACCCGACGCCAGAGCGCGGCGGCGCCGCCCAGUCUGCACGGCGGAAUCCCGCCGGGGCACGACGCACCGGUGCCCCCGUUGCCUGGUUUCCGCCCCAAUUUGCGUAAAUACGAUUGAAAGGACAUGGGGAAGUGAUUCAAUUGGUUAUUUACCUUCUGUUAUGCGAUCACGUGUCCAAUCUGCGGUGCUGGUCGCUAGCAGCUGUACGAGGGCGCUAGAGCGGCAAUCACCAGCACUGAUGAUACGCACGCGAAACGUGUAUGGGUGGCGAUGGCUCGAGGUUUGAUGGAUAGGGAACUCUCGGGGUAUGUCGCCGCUGGGAUUUAUAGCCAUGGCGAGGGGCAAUCGGGUCUGAGAGCAGAGAGGGGCGAGAAAUUAGAGCUGGACUCCAUGGCGUUGCGCGGUCGAGUUUGG